rnacentral:rRNA from 1 species
AUAAGCGCUGAAAGCAUCUAAGCGCGAAGCCUCCCUCAAAACGAGUAUUCCCUUGAGAGCCGUGGAAGACCACCACGUUGAUAGGCCGGAUGUGGAAGCGCAGCAAUGCGUGAAGCUGACCGGUACUAAUAGCUCGAUCGGCUUGAUCGUUCUCAUU